rnacentral:rRNA from 1 species
CGCCUUGCCAGCCCGCUCAGAAACUUAAAUGAAUUGACGGGGGCCCGCACAAGCGGUGGAGUAUGUGGUUUAAUUCGAUGCAACGCGAAGAACCUUACCUGGUCUUGACAUCCCGGAGACCCUUAGGAAACUAGGGGGUGCUUCCAUCUGGAAGAAUCUGGAGACAGGUGCUGCACGGCUGUCGUCAGCUCGUGUCGUGAGAUGUUGGGUUAAGUCCCGCAACGAGCGCAACCCUUGCCUUUAGUUGCCAGCAGUUCGGCUGGGCACUCUAAAGGGACUGCCGGUGUUAAACCGGAGGAAGGUGGGGAUGACGUCAAGUCCUCAUGGCCUUUAUGACCAGGGCUACACACGUACUACAAUGGCCGAUACAAAGGGCAGCGACACUGCGAGGUGAAGCCAAUCCCGUAAAAUCGGUCUCAGUCCGGAUUGGAGUCUGCAACUCGACUCCAUGAAGUUGGAAUCGCUAGUAAUCGUGGAUCAGCAUGCCACGGUGAAUACGUUCCCGGGCCUU